GCGGCGAUAGCUCAGUGGGUAAAGUGCCAGGUGAGUAUCCUAGAGCUAUUAUUCGCGCGGGUUCGAAUCCCCCCUGUGGCA